rnacentral:lncRNA from 1 species
UUCAUUGUGUGGCUGGCAAGACCUAGAACCUAGAAUCUCUUUGGGUUCCAGUAUUCUCUUUGCGGAAUGGGGAUGAUAACAUCCAAAGUCCCGCCAGCCUCACUGAGAGCCUGGGAAGAUCAAAACACGCUGAAUCACAGUCUACCCGUUCGAGCUGGUAGUUAGCACAUGUUUGCGACGAUCAGGCGCCACGCUAAGUGGCUUACGUGCGCUAUCUCGUCUGACCAUCAUAAGGGCGUCAGAGGGUGCUUUACCGUGGACGGACCUCUAUUUAGGAAAACUUGGCAUCUAAAAGCCCACAGGGACAAAAUCGAUAUAUUAAGGGCUUCCCUCCCUCCCCAGUGUACUUGGUGCACCUGUUUCCCCCCAGUGCUACCCUCUUCUGUAAGAUGUAACUCCAUUCAUCCUCCCGGCCUUUCCCUAAGGAGGAAGCCUCCUGAAGCAUGCAGACCAAGGGGCCAGCGAGGCGGCAUGGUGCAGAAAGAAAGCCAGGAGUCAGACUUCCUGAUUUCACACAUGACCCUGGGGCUUCUGACGUCCUCAUCUGCAAAAUGGGGACAACAUUCGCACUGAAGUCAGAAGGUUCCUGAGAGGAUUCAGUAAAUUACUCCUCAUAAAGCCUUAGAAGAGUACCUAACAGGAAGUAAGCGCCAUAUGAAUGUUAGCCAAAGGGAAAAGAAGUAUUUGUGUUACAGAAGUCUCCAAAUCUUAAAACAAGAGACUGAAUUCUAAUGCACCAAGUUUCAAGAAACAGUAAACUAAAUGAAAGGUUUGGAAGCUAGAGAGGACUAUUGUGUUUCCCUAAAAUCACAACACACAGGUUGGCAUCCCCAACACACACACACACACACACACACACACACACGGCAGUAUUCCAGGGACUGAUUUUGGAGCUCAGAUUUCGGAUUUUAACCUAGCUGUAUUACUUUAUAUCAAAACUUCAGUUUCCACAGAGAUAUUCAGUAUAUAUUUUUUUUAUUUUGAAUGUAACAAACCAAUUAAAGAAUGUUUCACAGUAGGCCCCUUUUGGGCUCCCAACCAAAGACCGCGUAUGAUCUCCGAGACCUUUUAGUUUCUGUUAUAGCUACAACUUGUAACCAUGAGGUGACCUAAUUUUAAAUUUCUCUCUGCCACCAGAACCUGAAAUGUAUCUUCUCCAGCAGGUAAACUCAGUCAACUCAUACAAUCUAACACGUUUUAGAAUAUCCUUCUCUACGGGUAAGAGGAUAAUGGGUGAGGGAGAUGCCUUCAAAUAAUAAAAAGCUCACGACUCCCA